UCAGGAUGAACGCUGGCGGUAUGCGUAACACAUGCAAGUCGAACGAAGUUUUUCGGAACUUAGUGGCGGACGGGUGAGUAACGCGUGAGAAUCUGCCUUAAGGAUUGGGACAACAGUGGGAAACCGCUGCUAAUACCAAAUAUGCCUUUUAGUGAAACGGGUAAGACCGCCUUAAGAUGAGCUCGCGUCUGAUUAGCUAGUAGGUGUGGUAAGAGCGCACCUAGGCGACGAUCAGUAGCUGGUCUGAGAGGACGACCAGCCACACUGGGACUGAGACACGGCCCAGACUCCUACGGGAGGCAGCAGUGAGGAAUUUUCCGCAAUGGGCGAAAGCCUGACGGAGCAAUACCGCGUGAGGGAGGAAGGUUCUUGGAUUGUAAACCUCUUUUCUCAGAGAAGAAUAAUGACGGUAUCUGAGGAAUAAGCAUCGGCUAACUCCGUGCCAGCAGCCGCGGUAAUACGGAGGAUGCAAGCGUUAUCCCGGAAUGAUUGGGCGUAAAGGGUCUGUAGGUGGUUGUUCAAGUCUGCUGUUAAAGCGUCUGGCUUAACCAGAUAAAGGCGGUGGAAACUGAACGACUAGAGUGCGGUAGGGGUAGAGGGAAU
rnacentral:rRNA from 1 species